CUGCCGGUGACAAACCGGAGGAAGGUGGGGAUGACGUCAAAUCAUCAUGCCCCUUAUGACCUGGGCUACACACGUGCUACAAUGGACAGAACAAAGGGCAGCGCAACCGCGAGGUUAAGCCAAUCCCACAAAUCUGUUCUCAGUUCGGAUCGCAGUCUGCAACUCGACUGCGUGAAGCUGGAAUCGCUAGUAAUCGCGGAUCAGCAUGCCGCGGUGAAUACGUUCCCGGGCCUUGUACACACCGCCCGUCACACCACGAGAGUUUGUAACACCCGAAGUCGGUGAGGUAACCUUUAUGGAGCCAGCCGCCGAAGGUGGGACAGAUGAUUGGGGUGAAGUCGUAACAAGGUAGCCGUAUCGGAAGGUGCGGCUGGAUCACCUCCUUUCUAAGGA
rnacentral:rRNA from 1 species